GGGAGUCACGGUGGCCGAGUGGUUAA
rnacentral:piRNA from 2 species